UUGCAUGCAGUGGCUUUACUGCCACAACACAUCCACCUCUCGCUACUGAUGAGAUUGUGGAUAUAUAAACAGCAUGCUAGAGUAAUAUGGGAGUCAACAGGGCCACCAGUCUCUCAAGAACGGACUGUGUUGGUAGUAUAGCACUCCUACAGUA